AUUCAUUAAAAGAAUCUGUUCAAAAGCGCGAAUCGGACAUCACGGCGAUUUUCCCGCCCACACGCAGAAUAAUUGCGUCAUUUCUGCCCGGGUUUUCUCGCUAGCGGUUUCUUCACGCGCUCCCGCCAUCAACUUCUGCAAAACAUCUUGCAGAUAUUUAAUUGACGUUAAUCCUCUCUCAGCUGCAGCCGCUCAUCAUGGAUGACUGGGAGGAAGAUCAGGGCCCUGUUGUAUCCUGCAGUUCAGGUUUUGGUCUGAGCUCUAGAGGUGCAGAUGGAGGAUUCAAGAGCUUCUAUACAGGAAGUACAGGAAACGGGAAGGCAAACAAUGAAGGUU